GCCUCCUUAGCUCAGCUGGUAGAGCAAAUGACUCUUAAUCAUUGGGUCAACGGUUCGAAUCCGUUAGGGGGUACCA
rnacentral:tRNA from 1 species